UGUGAAGUUGCUUAUUAUUAUUUUUCCCAUACUUUGGAAAGAAAUUUAACCAUUUUUUCAGGUAUCAAAGGUUUAAUAGCUUGUUAAAUGUGCCUGAACGCAGCACAAGAAAAAUAAUGUAGUUAGUGUAGUAGUUGUUCAAGGGUUAAAGUCAGUAUUUAUCCUAUGUAAAAACAAUCUAUCACUCCAUACUCUAACAUCAUUCAUUUUAAUAUUUACACCUCAGCUUUUUCUACUAUGACAUGUGAAAAAGUUUAAGAUCAUUCCCUGCAAAUUACCCAAAUUACAGCUAGCAAGACAUCUAAUCAGCCAGUGUAAUUUAAAACACCUGUGUGUGUGUGUGUGUGUGUGUGUGUGUGUGUGUGUGUUCAGUCUUUAAUUUGCAAAGUAAUGCAGCUGUCAGAUAAAUGUUGUGGGGUGAGAGGCACAAAAUUUCCCCCCUGAAAUGUAUGGAAGUGGAAUAUAAAUCUGAAUGAAAUGGAAGUAAUGAAGUAAAUGAUUUUGAAAAAUAUACUUAAGCGUAAGGCUGGAGUAAAUGUAACUAACCCCUAACAUGUAACACAGGCAACAGGAUGUUAUCAUUAAGUUUGCAGCUGACUGCUCAGCAUUUAUCUCUUUCCUCGUGUUUUGGCAGUGUCAGGUGUGUCACAGCACUCUGGGUAAUAUGAAAGCUGGAGACAGCCUGUGGAUCUACAAACAGGCGGUCCACUGCGAGAACUGCUUUGAGGGCAUCAGAGAGAGAUGGCGACGCUGAGUUUCUCCAGAGCCUUCACUGAAGACGACAAGUGAUUCAAAAUCAAAUGGAUUGUGGUUUUUGAUAAGUUUUAGGUGACAUGGGUUCUCCUUUACUUGUGUUUUUAUGAGCUAACAUUCUGGGUGUUUUGACAAACAUUGCAUUAUAACUGUUUUCUCUGCACACACUGUUGCAGUUAGCUGUAAUGGUUUUGUUGACAUCAUGCUUUGCUCUCUGUAUCCACCUCUUUUCAUAUAACUAAGUUAGCACAUCUGAUAUUCUCUUAAGUUUGCAGCCUUUUAGGGGGAUUCUUGUGUGUAACGUGAAAUGGAGAUAUUAAUAUAAAAACAACAAUUACGACUUAGGGCCGGGGGCUUUUUCUGUGUGCAAUAAAGGCAAUCAACAUAUCUUAAACACCAAA